rnacentral:rRNA from 1 species
GUGGGGAAUAUUGGACAAUGGGCGAAAGCCUGAUCCAGCCAUGCCGCGUGUGUGAAGAAGGUCUUCGGAUUGUAAAGCACUUUAAGUUGGGAGGAAGGGCAGUAAGUUAAUACCUUGCUGUUUUGACGUUACCGACAGAAUAAGCACCGGCUAACUUCGUGCCAGCAGCCGCGGUAAUACGAAGGGUGCACGCGUUAAUCGGAAUUACUGGGCGUAACGCGCGCGUAGGUGGUUUUGUAAGUUGGAGGUGAAAUCCCCGGGCUCAACCUGGGAACUGCCUCCAAAACUGCAUGACUAGAGUACGGUAGAGGGUAGUGGAAUUUCCUGUGUAGCGGUGAAAUGCGUAGAUAUAGGAAGGAACACCAGUGGCGAAGGCGACUACCUGGACUGAUACUGACACUGAGGUGCGAAAGCGUGGGGAGCAAACAGGAUUAGAAACCCCGGUAGUCC